rnacentral:rRNA from 1 species
CCUACGGGAGGCAGCAGUGGGGAAUCUUGCGCAAUGGGCGAAAGCCUGACGCAGCAACGCCGCGUGCGGGAAGAAGGCUUUCGGGCUGUAAACCGCUUUCAGCAGGAACGAAAAUGACGGUACCUGCAGAAGAAGGAGCGGCCAACUAUGUGCCAGCAGCCGCGGUGAUACAUAGGCUUCAAGCGUUGUCCGGAUUUAUUGGGCGUAAAGAGUUCGUAGGCGGUCGAGUAAGUCGGGUGUGAAAAUUCUGGGCUCAACCCAGAGACGCCACCCGAUACUGCUUGACUUGAGUUCGAUAGGGGAGUGGGGAAUUCCUAGUGUAGCGGUGAAAUGCGCAGAUAUUAGGAGGAACACCGGUGGCGAAGGCGCCACUCUGGAUCGAUACUGACGCUGAGGAACGAAAGCAUGGGUAGCAAACAGGAAUUAGAUACCCUGGUAGUCCAUGCCGUAAACGGUGGGCACUAGGUGUGGGUUUCUAUUAACGAAAUCCGCGCCGUCGCUAACGCAUUAAGUGCCCCGCUGGGGAUACGGUCGCAAGACUAAAACUCAAAGGAAUUGACGG